GGCCCCACCUUCACUUUGCCACCAGGGCUGUUGAUGUCGUGAGUGGUCAUUCGUGUGGGGAAAAGCAUUUCAUCCUCGAACACCCCAGUCAAACCCGUUUGUUCUGGGUCUGUCCCGAGGAAACAGCA
rnacentral:snoRNA from 1 species